UACGUAGGGGGCGAGCGUUGUCCGGAUUUAUUGGGCGUAAAGGGCGCGUAGGCGGUUUCUUAAGUUUGAAGUGACAGUGGGUGGCUUAACUACCCAAGGCCUUUGAAAACUGGGGAACUUGAGGACCAGAGAGGGACAUAGAAUUCCGGGUGGAGUGGUGAAAUGCGUAGAUAUCCGGAGGAAUACCAAAGGCGAAGGCAGUGUCCUGGAGGGUAACUGACGCUGAGGCGCGAAAGCUAGGGGAGCGAACAGG
rnacentral:rRNA from 1 species